CAGCUCAUGGCAAGGCCAGAUCCUUAACCCACUGAGUGAGGCCAGGGAUGGAACCUGCAUCCUCAUGGAUGCUAGUUUGGUUCAUUAACCACUGAGCCACGACGGGAAUGCCCAAAAAACAAAUUAAAAAUAAAAGAUAAAAGGGUUUUCUCUAGACUGACAGAGCUGUCUCCCAGAACUCACUUGCUGACCAGUGGUCAAAGGGGAAAUCAUUUGUUAGCCCCUCCCUGAGGGGGAAGUGCUGAGUAAAGGGCUCAGAGGGCGUCUUCUCUCCCCUGUGUCUGCCUGCUAGAUGUUCCUCUGCAGCUGAACAGCUGGCAGGCAGCCCGAGAUGGGGCCCUGCUCAGGAAACCCCCACCUCCUUCUUGAGAAAAUCCUCCUGUUUCCUGUUUCCAAUGCCCUAGGUGUCUGCCGCAGUGGGACCAAUAGUGAUGGAGGUCCUGCUCCUGGAGUUCAGGAUUCUGGAGCUCCUGAUCCUCUGCAGGGGAUCCGAGGAGGUUCUGUGCUGUUUCCUUUGCCCAAGAAGCAAGACGCUGAGCUGGAGGAGGUCACGUGGGGCUUUGGUCCUGGGUCAGAGUACAGAGUCCUGCUGCGAGUCCGACCUGGGAAAGCUCCAAUAUGGGUGAGCCUCCAGGACGGGUACCAGCAGAGGGUCCAUGUGCCCAACAUGACGUCCCUGAAGAUUGAGAACCUGACCCCCGAGGACAGUGGGCUGUACCGGGCUCGAGUUAGCUUCACUGGAGGAGUAGAUUUUACCCAGUUUUCCACCUCACUGUCUAUGAGCCUGUGCCCAUUCCCCAGAUCCUGGUCCACUCACCAUCCAUCACGCAAGGCUGGUGCAAUGUCACCAUUGAGUGCAGGAUCUCAUGGGGCACAGAGGACCUGA
rnacentral:lncRNA from 1 species